UGCAUCUGAGGUCAGUGAGGAUGAGAACCUCCGGGGGCAGGAGGUUCGACUCGAGCGAAGCGAGAGAACGUUGCGUCAGCAACGGCCCG
rnacentral:sRNA from 1 species